GGGCCUGUAGCUCAGAGGAUUAGAGCACGUGGCUACGAACCACGGUCUCGGGGGUUCCCUCCUCGCCCA